rnacentral:lncRNA from 1 species
UUCCUGUAAUGAUGAAUUGUCAUGAGCCUUAAUUAGCAAAUUGGUUAAUUUUACUUAGAAAGUUGAUGAUUAGCGCCACAGUAAGUGCUUUGUGCAUUCUUUGUAAGAGUCAUUCAGUAUCACUCUUCCUUGGGUAACUAAUUGGAGAAGACUGUUCCACAGAGCCCUCCUCUCGAUCAGCCUCUUCAACAUUUCUGCAGCAAGCACUGCUGCUUCACCUGGAUGCUGGAAUCUCAUCAGGGGAUGGCACUCCUCACAGGAGACUUCCAAAAACCUGGAAGGGACAAGGAGCAAGUCAUUAAGGAACCUCUACCUGUUUAAUUCAUCAGUGCUCUGCACAGCUGCAUUCUAUUCUAGCAUGCCCUAAAUGCCUUGCUGUUUGCUUUGAAGUUGGUUAAUCUGGUUUGGCUUUAUCUUAUCUUUUUUAGGAGGCAGUUUCAGAAUUAAAAGCUUGUGACUGACAGUGUUCUGCUUUCUGGUCUCCUGAGCUUUAUCCUAAACCUUUAUAGCUGUAAUUGUCUCAGAAGAGUGUAGCUUGCCUCAGGUGUAGCUUCCAUCUCCCGGUGCCUGCAGAGUUAAAGCUCUGCCUUUGGAGCACAGAGAAGAGCAACUGAGAGCUGGAUCGUGUUCCAAGGGAAAAAAAAAUCAAUAUAUUAUGCACAAGAUGUCUCCAAAUUCAGCACCUUCUAAUUAGUCCAGGAGCCAGCACCCCUCUGUCAACAGCAGAAUCCAAGUCUUGUUGCGGAGGUUGUUCCUUCUGUGUGGUUUAGCCUUAUUUUGGUCCCUGUGCUUUGAUUCCCAUCACAUCAGGGAUGUUAAUAGAGUGAAGUGCUGAGGGGGACCCCAGAGAGGGUCAGGGAGAGGAGCAGGCGAAUCAGUGGGAGCAAAGGAUCUGUGUGGAGCUGGAAAAGCUCUCGAGAAAUGCCUGCAGCCCAACAGGCAACUCAGAGAGAGAUGCUGGAGAGCCUUUGGCCUGCCAAGUUUGAUGUGUGCCUUCAUCCUCAUACUUAUCUGUCCCAUAAUACUCCAUUCCAGACCUGGCAGUAUCAGCACAUACUGGAUUUAUUGCUAGGGAAGGAAAGAAGUUGCCAUGACUACUCACCGAGUAAUACUCCAUUAUGCGCAAAGGAGACACUGACUGCCCCCAUGUCAGAGAAUUGCUGA